GUGGGGUAAUUUUCCGCAAUGGGCGAAAGCCUGACGGAGCAAUGCCGCGUGGAGGUGGAAGGCCUACGGGUCGUCAACUUCUUUUCUCGGAGAAGAAACAAUGACGGUAUCUGAGGAAUAAGCAUCGGCUAACUCUGUGCUAG
rnacentral:rRNA from 1 species